UGGGAAGCGAGAGCCUCCCCGGUAUAAACUGCCAGCUCUAAGCAGCCCUGACAGCUCUGCUCCUUCCCAAACCUGGCAGCCGUUCAAAGUGCUCUUUCAUUCGGGAUGCUGGAAGCCUGCCAUGUGCAAUGCAGAUUUCGCUGUGCCUGUGCGCAGAAGGAACUGAUAAAUGCCGUUGCGGUUGCCAUGGGGACGGGAGGCUAUCAGAAUGGCCUUGUGAUCCGCAGCCUCCUCGCGGCGCGGCAGGCUCUCGCUCCGCGCUCCCGCCCCGCCUCCCGCGAGUCGGCUACCAUGGAUGCUAGGGAAAAGGGACGGAAUCUCAAGAGCCAGGAAAUGAAGAGGCCAGGAUAAAACAGCGUGGAGCUCAGCAGCUGCUGCCGGCUGUUCUCGAACCAGAUAGUGAGGUGAGCUAUCCUCUACCUGAGGGGCUGCAGUGCAGUCGUGGAAGAUAAUAUGAUGGCAAAGAGACUGAAGGGAGAGACCCCAGUUAAGGCUGAGCACUCCCAGAAACCAGGAUGGCUUUGGUGGCAUUUGUCCUGACAGCUGCUGAGAGCUUCAGCUGCCAGAAAAGCCAUUUGCUCAGGCUUGCCCUGUCUGGCCAACUUUGAUGCAGUUAAAGGACCCUUGUUGGUCUCUGAGGUCUCCCUCUCUGCACCUGAAUCCUCCCAUCUUUGGAAGACAAGGGAAGUUCCUAGGAGACAUUCGCCCCACCGUCUGUCUCGAAGCUGCUGCUGUAACCUUCCUGCAGUAGUCAACAUCAGCUGGCAAAUCCCUAAAUUAAGGUUCUGUUUACUCUGUUGUUCCAAAGGCUUGUUUUGAGCAAGAGGCUGUGCCUUAAUUAAAACGAUGAGUGCUCAUGAGUAAGUGAAAAUAUUUUUU
ensembl:lncRNA